UUUUUUAUGGUGUAAUAAACACGUUGAAUUUUCGAUUCAGAGAUGGGAAAUUUUCUCUAGGCCUUUAAAU
rnacentral:tRNA from 1 species